GACGAACGCUGGCGGCGUGCUUAACACAUGCAAGUCGAACGGAAAGGCCCUGCUUUUGUGGGGUGCUCGAGUGGCGAACGGGUGAGCAACACGUGAGUAACCUGCCCUUGACUUUGGGAUAACUUCAGGAAACUGGGGCUAAUACCGGAUAGGAGCUCCUGCUGCAUGGUGGGGGUUGGAAAGUUUCGGCGGUUGGGGAUGGACUCGCGGCUUAUCAGCUUGUUGGUGGGGUAGUGGCUUACCAAGGCUUUGACGGGUAGCCGGCCUGAGAGGGUGACCGGCCACAUUGGGACUGAGAUACGGCCCAGACUCCUACGGGAGGCAGCAGUGGGGAAUAUUGCACAAUGGGCGGAAGCCUGAUGCAGCAACGCCGCGUGCGGGAUGACGGCCUUCGGGUUGUAAACCGCUUUCGCCUGUGACGAAGCGUGAGUGACGGUAAUGGGUAAAGAAGCACCGGCUAACUACGCG
rnacentral:rRNA from 1 species